AGUCAAGGUGAUCUCCCCGCCACAGGAUGCCUGCACACAGCCCCCACCAUCCCCUAGAGAAGAGAGGAGGAGGAAAGUCACCCCAGGAGGCCAAUUUCCUUUCAGCUCCAUUUCCCUGCACACCCCUCAGGCUGGGAUUCAGACCAUAGAUGUGACAGUGAAGCCACCAGAGUCAGGAAAUUCAAAAGCAGCCACCAUUCUCCCCACACUGGGGCAGCGAGCAAGGGAAAGCAAGAAAUGCCCCCUGGGGACCCAGACACUCUCAGCUCCGUGUGUGAAGGUGGAGGGGAGACCGCCCUGGCGCUGGAUUUCCUGGGUUUUGUGACCCAGGCAAGGGCAAGAAUGGUUUUCCCUGCCACAUCACUGGCUAAUAAAUGAGGCAUCGAGCAGCUCCUUUGAUUAAGACUAUGCGGCCCUCACUACGUCAUUGUCGUCAUUGACACGGCUCCAGCUGAAAUGUGAUGUUUCCGUUGUGGACACGGGUGGCCAGCCACAGUGGCGGGAGAGUGCCUGAGACUCAGGUGCUGUUUGUUAGAAACCACAGCAAGUCUUUUCAUCGCCCAGUGCAGGUGAUGCAGGUGCUUCAUCAGCCCCCUUCAUCUCAGUCCAUCUCCUCUUCCACCUGGCCCUGGACAAGGGUCAACAGAGCACAGUGGCUUCCUGUUCACUCAGGUCAGGAAACCAAUGGCAAGAAAAGUGACAACGAUGGCACCCAUGAUUGAGGACCUCCUCUGUGUCAGACACUCCUAGCUUUACUUAUUUACACCUCACUUUAUCCGCAAAGAGGCAUCAUUAUCCCCAUUUCACAGAUGAAUAAAAUGAGGCUUCGAGGAGUUAAGUGAUUUGUUCAAGGCCAACUGCAUGGAGAUACGGGUCCUCCAGGUGGGUUCAGUUACAAGGCAGUCGAAGCUGGGGCUGGAGUGGGGAGGUGGCCGAAUGUAGGCUCUCCCAGAUCUGAAGGACGCAGAGACUUUGGGCCAGUGUUCCUGCGGACAGGUAGAGCAGGGGCUGCGGACGCUGCAAUUGUGGCUGAGCCCACCUACCGGCUGCUACCCUUGAAGUGGCUUCACAAG